UGGGGAAUGCCUGUAGCUCAGCGGUGGAACAUCUACAUUGCAUGCAGAAGGUCCCAGGUUCAGUCCCUGGUGCUCCAG